CCUCCUUAAACGAAACACACACGUUUCGGUCAGAGUUCACACGAAUUGCUUGGUUAGUAUUUGAAGAGCGAAAGGGCAUAGGCCCUAGAAGGCCUGUAGCUCAGGUGGUUAGAGCGCACCCCUGAUAAGGGUGAGGUCGGCAGUUCAAGUCUGCCCAGGCCUACCAAUUUUUCCUAAGCCUGCGUUGAACGAAGUCGUCGUUUAGUUUUACUAAACUUCCUCCUUGUUCGCCUUGUCUUAGAAAAAAUCUUAUUAGUGUUAAGCCUUAAUGAAGUACACCACUGUAAAAUUGGGGCUAUAGCUCAGCUGGGAGAGCGCCUGCCUUGCACGCAGGAGGUCAGCAGUUCGAUCCUGCUUAGCUCCACCAAUUUUCUUUUGAACAUCUGCUCAUAACUAAGACUAUUCGAUAAAGCGUUGGCUUUUGUUAAGU
rnacentral:misc_RNA from 1 species